AUCCAGUGAUUUGGCAAAUGGUGUUUCAACCAAAGUUUACAAUCAUCGCAGCUCCUCAUGUUCAAAGUAGAAGGUUCUGAGAAUCCAGAUCUGGUAAGGGUGUCUGCGACAUAGGAAGCAAGGCACCUAGGAACCUGAGCGGAAAAAUAAUCCUGAGGGGACCAAAUUCUCUCACUAUCACUGGCAGAACAAACCUGGUGGAGAGCAAAACAUGUUUGUCCUCCUUUUCCCAAAUAUUCCUCUAACUAGCCUGAAGCCUCUCUGUGGUAGGGCCCUCAGUCUCAUUUUUAGAUACCAAUUCCUUUGAAUAAUGGUAAGACACUUCUAUUGAAAUAAAAAAUAUCCUUUGGAAGGGUGACAACUGUAAGCCUGUUGUUUACUAUUAAUAUAAAUAGAGGCACAAGUCCCACAUGGUAAAACAAAUUACCCUAACACCUAGUAAAUAGAGCAGCUGAGAAAGAGAUAUUUGAAUUUUAGGAUCCUGCCCAAGGUAAUUUCUUUGGCCUUGGUGGAGUUUACAACGGUGGAGUUUACAAUGAGAAGCUCGGUGUAGCAAAGGGAUAGAGGCACUAGAACAUGGAAGUGAAGAAAAGACUUAACACGUACUGAGUCUCUACUAAGAGCUACCCUGGAUGAAGACAUCAAAGAGAAA
rnacentral:lncRNA from 1 species